UACGUAGGGUGCAAGCGUUGUCCGGAAUUAUUGGGCGUAAAGAGCUCGUAGGCGGUCUGUCGCGUCGGCUGUGAAAACCUGGGGCUUAACCCCGGGCCUGCAGCCGAUACGGGCAGACUAGAGUUCGGCAGGGGAGACUGGAAUUCCUGGUGUAGCGGUGAAAUGCGCAGAUAUCAGGAGGAACACCGGUGGCGAAGGCGGGUCUCUGGGCCGAAACUGACACUGAGACGCGAAAGCGUGGGGAGCAAACAGG
rnacentral:rRNA from 1 species